ACCCUCUUAGCUCAGCUGGACAGAGCGCCGCACUACGAAUGCGGAGGCCGCAGGUUCGACUCCUGCAGGGGGUA
rnacentral:tRNA from 1 species